ACCAGAAAGCCACGGCUAACUACGUGCCAGCAGCCGCGGUAAUACGUAGGUGGCAAGCGUUGUCCGGAAUUAUUGGGCGUAAAGGGCUCGCAGGCGGUUUCUUAAGUCUGAUGUGAAAGCCCCCGGCUCAACCGGGGAGGGUCAUUGGAAACUGGGGAACUUGAGUGCAGAAGAGGAGAGUGGAAUUCCACGUGUAGCGGUGAAAUGCGUAGAGAUGUGGAGGAACACCAGUGGCGAAGGCGACUCUCUGGUCUGUAAC
rnacentral:rRNA from 1 species